UAGGGAAUCUUCCACAAUGGGCGCAAGCCUGAUGGAGCAACACCGCGUGAGUGAAGAAGGGUUUCGGCUCGUAAAGCUCUGUUGUUAAAGAAGGACACGUAUGAGAGUAACUGUUCAUACGUUGACGGUAUUUAACCAGAAAGUCACGGCUAACUACGUGCCAG
rnacentral:rRNA from 1 species